rnacentral:rRNA from 1 species
UACGGGGGGGCAAGCGUUGUUCGGAAUUACUGGGCGUAAAGGGCUCGUAGGCGGCCAACUAAGUCCGACGUGAAAUCCCCAGGCUUAACUUGGGAACUGCGUCGGAUACUGGAUGGCUUGAAUCCGGGAGAGGGAUGCGGAAUUCCAGGUGUAGCGGUGAAAUGCGUAGAUAUCUGGAGGAACACCGGUGGCGAAGGCGGCAUCCUGGACCGGCAUUGACGCUGAGGAGCGAAAGCCAGGGGAGCAAAACGG